AGAGUUUGAUCCUGGCUCAGGAUGAACGCUAGCUACAGGCUUAACACAUGCAAGUCGUGGGGCAGCAUGUCGGUUGCUUGCAACCGAUGAUGGCGACCGGCGCACGGGUGAGUAACGCGUAUCCAACCUUCCCCAUAGUAGGGUACAGCCCGGCGAAAGUCGGAUUAAUGCCCUAUGUUCUUCGCAGACGGCAUCUGAUGUGAAGCAAAGGUUUUCCGCUAUGGGAUGGGGAUGCGUCUGAUUAGCUUGCCGGCGGGGUAACGGCCCACCGGGGCGACGAUCAGUAGGGGUUCUGAGAGGAAGGUCCCCCACACUGGUACUGAGACACGGACCAGACUCCUACGGGAGGCAGCAGUGAGGAAUAUUGGUCAAUGGGCGAGAGCCUGAACCAGCCAAGUAGCGUGCAGGAUGACGGCCCUACGGGUUGUAAACUGCUUUUAUGCGGGGAUAAAGUUCGCCAUGCGUGGUGUUUUGCAUGUACCGCAUGAAUAAGGACCGGCUAAUUCCGUGCCAGCAGCCGCGGUAAUACGGAAGGUCCGGGCGUUAUCCGGAUUUAUUGGGUUUAAAGGGAGCGCAGGCGGGCUAUUAAGCGUGACGUGAAAUGUGGCGGCUCAACCGCCGAACUGCGUCGCGAACUGGUGGUCUUGAGUAGGUACGACGUGGACGGAAUUCGUGGUGUAGCGGUGAAAUGCUUAGAUAUCACGAAGAACCCCGAUUGCGAAGGCAGUCCACGAGUCCCUUACUGACGCUAAUGCUCGAAAGUGCGGGUAUCGAACAGGAUUAGAUACCCUGGUAGUCCGCACGGUAAACGAUGGAUGCCCGCUGUCGGCGAUAGAUUGUCGGCGGCCAAGCGAAAGCGUUAAGCAUCCCACCUGGGGAGUACGCCGGCAACGGUGAAACUCAAAGGAAUUGACGG
rnacentral:rRNA from 1 species